rnacentral:rRNA from 1 species
UACGUAGGGUGCGAGCGUUGUCCGGAAUUAUUGGGCGUAAAGAGCUCGUAGGCGGUGUGUCACGUCGGCCGUGAAAACCUGCAGCUUAACUGUGGGCGUGCGGUCGAUACGGGCAUCACUGGAGUUCGGCAGGGGAGACUGGAAUUCCUGGGUGUAGCGGUGAAAUGCGCAGAUAUCAGGAGGAACACCGGUGGCGAAGGCGGGUCUCUGGGCCGAUACUGACGCUGGAGGAGCGAAAGCGUGGGGAGCAAACAGG